rnacentral:rRNA from 1 species
UACAGGGGGUGCGAGCGUUAAUAGGAAUUACUGGGUGUAAAGGGCGCGUAGGCGGCAGGACAUGUGUGAUGUGAAAGCCCCGGGCUUAACCUGGGAAGUGCAUUGCAAACUGUCCAGCUGGAGUACAUGAGAGGGUGGCGGAAUUUCCGGUGUAGCGGUGAAAUGCGUAGAGAUCGGAAGGAACGUCGAUGGCGAAGGCAGCCACCUGGCAUGAUACUGACGCUGAGGCGCGAAAGCGUGGGGAGCGAACAGG